CAUGCAAGUCGAACGGAAAGGCCCUUCGGGGUACUCGAGUGGCGAACGGGUGAGUAACACGUGGGUGAUCUGCCCUGCACUUUGGGAUAAGCCUGGGAAACUGGGUCUAAUACCGAAUAUGAUCAUGCACCUCCUGGUGUGUGGUGGAAAGCUUUUGCGGUGUGGGAUGGGCCCGCGGCCUAUCAGCUUGUUGGUGGGGUAAUGGCCUACCAAGGCGACGACGGGUAGCCGGCCUGAGAGGGUGACCGGCCACACUGGGACUGAGAUACGGCCCAGACUCCUACGGGAGGCAGCAGUGGGGAAUAUUGCACAAUGGGCGCAAGCCUGAUGCAGCGACGCCGCGUGAGGGAUGACGGCCUUCGGGUUGUAAACCUCUUUCAGCACAGACGAAGCGCAAGUGACGGUAUGUGCAGAAGAAGGACCGGCCAACUACGUGCCAGCAGCCGCGGUAAUACGUAGGGUCCGAGCGUUGUCCGGAAUUACUGGGCGUAAAGAGCUCGUAGGUGGUUUGUCGCGUUGUUCGUGAAAACUCACA
rnacentral:rRNA from 1 species